UACGAAGGGGGCUAGCGUUGCUCGGAAUGACUGGGCGUAAAGGGCGCGUAGGCGGAUGGCACAGUCAGAUGUGAAAUUCCCGGGCUUAACCUGGGGGCUGCAUUUGAUACGUGUGAUCUAGAGUGAGGAAGAGGGUCGUGGAAUUCCCAGUGUAGAGGUGAAAUUCGUAGAUAUCGGGAGGAACACCUGUGGCGAAAGCGGCUCACUGGACCAUAACUGACGCUGAUGCACGAAAGCUGGGGGGAGCAAACAGG
rnacentral:rRNA from 1 species